rnacentral:rRNA from 1 species
AUUGAACGCUGGCGGCAUGCCUUACACAUGCAAGUCGAACGGUAACAGGUCUUCGGAUGCUGACGAGUGGCGAACGGGUGAGUAAUACAUCGGAACGUGCCUAGUAGUGGGGGAUAACUACUCGAAAGAGUGGCUAAUACCGCAUGAGAUCUACGGAUGAAAGCAGGGGAUCGCAAGACCUUGUGCUACUAGAGCGGCCGAUGGCAGAUUAGGUAGUUGGUGGGAUAAAAGCUUACCAAGCCGACGAUCUGUAGCUGGUCUGAGAGGACGAUCAGCCCCACUGGGGCGGAGACACGGCCCAGACUCCUACGGGAGGCAGCAGUGGGGAAUUUUGGACAAUGGGCGAAAGCCUGAUCCAGCAAUGCCGCGUGCAGGAUGAAGGCCUUCGGGUUGUAAACUGCUUUUGUACGGAACGAAAAGCCCCGGGUUAAUACCCUGGGGUCAUGACGGUACCGUAAGAAUAAGCACCGGCUAACUACGUGCCAGCAGCCGCCGUAA